GCCGAGGCACCAGCAGGAUCUCCUCCGAAACCUCCUCCGGCCAUAUCGACGUUGAGAAGAAGAAAAAAAUUUGCGGAAGAUAUGUAAGACUUGGUGGAUAUAUAUAGAUUAAAGGGUUGUGAUUUUCAGACUACGUUCAGUGCGUAUGUAAAUUGUAUUACAGAUUACAGGCUGGAUGACGAGUCGAGGAGGAAGGAGGCAGCAAAUGAUGGAGACGUUGCUGACCGUGAAGCGUGAACUGUGGACUGAUUUUGUUUUUGGUUUGAAUAUUAUUAUUUUUUUACUUUAUCUGCCCAAAUCCCC
rnacentral:lncRNA from 1 species